ensembl:lincRNA
GCGAUGACGACUUCUGCAAGCUCUUUGAGAGCAUUACAGUUGAAGACAUGCACGAGUUGCUAAUGUACUUCGCAGAGCUAAUAAAUUAUAAUACCGACAUUUCUAUAAGCAUUUAUACUAGAUACUAUUUCCAACUUCGUGAACUGGCAUUCAGGCAUGGCCUGGGUUUGCCACAUUACCUUCUUGACAGAGAAAGAGCAUGGGAUCUGAAGGCUUUAUCAAGGAUGGAACAAGAUGAAGUGUUCUAUGCUGUUCACAAGAACUGGUCUUUCAGUGCUGAUGAUUUAAUUCGUCUUCGGCACGCUAAGGCCGUCCUCUCCUGAAGGAAGAAAUGAGGGGUAAUGUAACAUCUGAACCCCUCAUCAAAAAAGACAGGAGAAUGCCACCUCUCCUGCUAAGGAACUAGAAAAGUUCAUGUUUUCAAAAGAAGAAACACCUCAAUACAAGUUAACUCAAGGACAGCUAAGGUUGUACUUAAUAGUAAAGAAUGGGACCUUGUAGGGACAACAAUGCAGUCUUACACUCUUCUGUCCCUUUUAAUGUAAACAGAGUUAUAGAAACCACUCCAAAAUAACCACUUCUGCCCACUCACAGAUACUUAGUGUGUCAGCUGAUAGCUGUGAACUAUGUAAGGCUUUUUUUCUUUUGUUUUCAGAUGAGUCUCACUCUGUUGCCAUCCUAGAGUGCAGUGGCAUGAUCGCAGCUUAAUGCAAUUUCCACCUCCUGGGUUCAAGCCAUUCUCCUGCCUCAGCCUCCUUCCUUAAUUAAAUGUUUUAUUUUAAGUAGCUGGGAUUACAGGGGCACCUGGCCUAUGUAAGGCUUUUAAAACAAUAGUUUAAAUUUUUUAGAUUUUAAAGAUAACUUUUCUGUUUUUUUAAAAAUAUUUUUUAUUUUCCCCCAAAUUGCAGUAUUAGUAUUAAAACAUGUCAAAGGAGUUCAUGAAUAGCGCAGUCUUUUCUUCCUGGGGGUCCUCCCCUUCAGUGUCCCAGCCAGCUUGCAGCAGCCAUAGACGGAGGCUUUAUACUGAGAGAAGCUACAGAGCGCUGGAAAGCUGGGAAUGCACACAUAGACAUGACCAGAGUUGAGAAUAGGAGGUGGGUUGUGAUGUCCUCUCUGAGGGAAUAAUUGUCAUUUUCCUGAGGCUGUUUCUAGAUAUUGUCAAAUAAAUUCAGAUGUAGGUAAGAUGUGACUUUAUUCUAAAGGAGUAUUGCAAUGGGGAAAGCAUCAAGCAUCAGAUCUACAUCUCACAAGAGGCAGAAAAGGGCUGUGUUUUUUAUGGAGGAGCAAACAAGAUUAGAAGGAAGGUGGGAAGAAGAGUGGAGAAUGGCAAAAUCAGAUUUUAGCUUAGGGACUGUUUCACCCAAAGUCAGCCUGUUCUUAGGAGGGGCAUAAACGGGCUUUGAAUGUUGGCUCAGACUGAAGGCAGAGCAGAGUCUGGGAGGCUGGAGAAGGGAGAGAAACUUAAGCAAAGUUGUGGUGGAAUUCCUGGAACUCGUGGCAAAGGUUGCAGUGAGCCGAGAUUGCACCAUUGCACGCCAGGGUGACAGAGUGAGACUCUGUCUGAUAAAUAAAUAAAUAAAUAAAUAUUUUUAAAUAAUCUUUUAAAUAUUUUUAAUAAAAUCUUGUUU